rnacentral:rRNA from 1 species
AUAAACGCUGGCGGCAUGCCUAAUACAUGCAAGUCGAACGGAAAGAGGUACUCGUACUUCUUUCAGUGGCGAACGGGUGAGUAACACGUAGGGAACCUGCCCGGUGCCGGGGGAUACGCUUUGGAAACGAAGUCUAAAACCCCAUAACAACGAAGAAGGCAUCUUCUUUGUUUGAAAAGGACAACUGUCCUGGCGCCGGAUGGACCUGCGGUGCAUUAGUUAGUUGGUGAGGCAAAGGCUCACCAAGACGAUGAUGCAUAGCCGGCCUGAGAGGGCGGACGGCCACACUGGGACUGAGACACGGCCCAGACUCCUGCGGGAGGCAGCAGUAGGGAAUUUUCGUCAAUGGGCGCAAGCCUGAACGAGCAAUGCCGCGUGAGUGAAGAAGCUCUUCGGAGUGUAAAGCUCUGUUGUGAAGGAAAAAGGCAGGGAAGAGUGGAAAGCUACCCUGUUGAUGGUACUUCACCAGAAAGUCACGGCUAACUACGUGCCAGCCGCCGCGGUAAAAC